GGACUACACGGGUAUCUAAUCCUGUUUGCUCCCCACGCUUUCGCGUCUCAGCGUCAGUCGCUGUCCAGAAGGCCGCCUUCGCCACCGGUGUUCCUCUCGAUAUCUACGAAUUUCACCUCUACACCGAGAAUUCCGCCUUCCUCUCCAGGACUCCAGCUCCGUAGUUUCGAAUGCACUUCCUAGGUUGAGCCCAGGGCUUUCACAUCCGACUUACAGAGCAGCCUACACGCGCUUUACGCCCAGUAAUUCCGAACAACGUUUGCACCCUCUGUCUUACCGCGGCGGCUGACAC
rnacentral:misc_RNA from 1 species